GACGUAGGGCGCGAGCGUUGUCCGGAUUUAUUGGGCGUAAAGAGCUCGUAGGCGGCUCGUUGCGUCGGCUGUGAAAACCCGAGGCUCAACCUCGGGCCUGCAGCCGAUACGGGCAGACUAGAGUUCGGCAGGGGAGACUGGAAUUCCUGGUGUAGCGGUGAAAUGCGCAGAUAUCAGGAGGAACACCGAUGGCGAAGGCAGGUCUCUGGGCCGCAACUGACGCUGAGGAGCGAAAGCAUGGGGAGCGAACAGG
rnacentral:rRNA from 1 species